AACCCAAAGUAUAAGCGCCCACCU
rnacentral:siRNA from 1 species